CAGUAGCCGCGGUAAUACGUAGGGUGCAAGCGUUAAUCGGAAUUACUGGGCGUAAAGCGUGCGCAGGCGGUUCGCUAAGACAGAAGUGAAAUCCCCGGGCUUAACCUGGGAACUGCAUUUGUGACUGGCGGGCUAGAGUAUGGCAGAGGGGGGUAGAAUUCCACGUGUAGCAGUGAAAUGCGUAGAGAUGUGGAGGAAUACCGAUGGCAAAGGCAGCCCCCUGGGCCAAUACUGACGCUCAUGCACGAAAGCGUGGGGAGCAAACAGGAUUAGAUACCCCUGUAGUCCCUGUCUCUUAUAC
rnacentral:rRNA from 1 species